GUCAUUUCAAUCAGCUGUAGCAGAUCUUCAGCCAACGCUACGUAUAACUACCUUGCACUUAAUUGCAUCUAAUAGAAAAUUAGCAGCAAUCUAGGGUAAAAAGUGCUACGACCGAACAAUCUCGAAACCUGGCGAACGAUGCGACUCUGUCCAAAGAAGAUCGUCGACUAAUUCGCACAAAUUGAUCGGUCAAGUUAGAUCGAGAGGGAACUCCUACCUCCUGGAUGCUCGGCGAUUCAAUUUCCCAAGCGAGGAAAAUCCAAGGCGACUGAUGCAGACGAUUCUACGAGAACUGCCGCGUCGGGACGACAACGACGAAGACGACGACGACGCGUCUCAUGAUGCACUCGCGAACAACGUUCGAGGCUCGGCGGGAAACGCGAUCCUGGAUCGAGAGCGGAGCGGAUAUAUCUUCGUGUCCGAAGGACCAGGACUAGAUGGAUCCAGCCGGGGAAGAGAUCCGAGGAGAGACCCGAUGUGUUCGAUGAAACUCGGGCCGAGCGACACGAACAACCGCGUGGCACGGACGGCUGUCGGCAGCCGACUGAACGUCUCGCCGGAGAAUGGGAAGAACGAUAUCAGCCGGUGCAGGACGAGGAAGAGAGGUUCGGAACGGAUUCGAAUUUUGACACGAUGGAGGAUCGUUCUUGCUUCUUCAGAAAUAUUUUGGUCUACGCCACUGAACAACCACUCCUCUGGAGCUCCUGAUAGAACAUCAAUUUGCAAGAAACUGACUUCGAGUCCGGCUAAAUCCAUGAGAAGCCAUCGAAGAACAACUAUACUCCAGCCGGGCCUCUGGGUGUCCUGGGGAUGGACAGAGGCCCGAGGCUCCGUGUCAACGAAACGCGACACGGCCGAAAUAUAGACAAACGCGGACGCGCCGCGCUCUGCGGGGAUAUUGUAAACGGGCCGGUGUGCUUUUGACGCGUCGAUAUAUUCCCGCGAAGAAAGCCUCUGCCGCUGAAGCUGAGAAAUAGCUUGCCACCUUUUACCCAGCCAUCCUGUACCCUCCUCUCUCGCCGCCGCGACGUGUACAACCCGCGCGGCCUUGUCCCUUCGAACGAUUACGGAUUCCCAGACUCCGGGGAUCGUAAGGAGGAGCGGAUGAACAAGUUCGAGCCAGACGGAUCAAGUUCGAGAUAGAAAAAAGACUAGGAAGUGCACGGAUGAGGCGAAGAGCCUCGAUGUUUUAAGAUGGAGAAUAAAAGGGGACUGGUUGGAGCAUUUGCGGACUGAUCAGACUCGUCGGGGGCUUUUCGUGGCAAGUAGAUCCUGUUUGGAGCAUCGAAACCACGCCCACUUAGAAAGAUACAUACAGCAGAUCUUGAUUUCGCAAAUGGGGAUCUCUCAGGGAGUACUUGUUGGAUAUUCGAUAUCUCGGCUGUCGAUGCAAAACUGAAGUUAGAAUCGCCGUAGUCUCCUAGAUUCUUCUCGGAGCACCGAAGCCACGCCUACUACCGGCUCCGCCCCCAAACCAAGCCUUUAUGUUUCCACGAGCUUCUUCUUCUCGGUUACAAAAUUCGCGGGCAGAUGAAAAAGUGUGGACACCGUUCGAUAUCGAUUCGUCGGAGUGCCAGAGGAUGCUGCCUCUGCGUCCACGCGGCGACAACAGUUUUUGCGGCGAAGCCGAAUGGACGGAUACGCGACGAUAGCGCGAUAGCUCCUCCGUGAUGGGAAAACACGGGACACCGCGGCGGUGGUACACGCGCGAACUUAUCCGCCCGGCUCCGUUCUAGUUCCUCCGGUCCCCUCCUCGCUUCUCUUCAGCGUCGGCACCGCUUAUUGGCACAAAUUCACGGGCGACCACGCGAACGUACGCGAGCCGGCCCACCGGCCUAUUAUAGGUAUUAUUAGCACUCCGUCACGGGCCUGUCAUCGCCACGCACACUCCUCUAUGUUGGCGCGCGCGUACACCGGAAUUCCCCGAUAGCCGCCUUCGAUUCCUUCGAUGAUCGAAGACGUCCGACGUCCUCGGGAUGAUCCUGGACCGUUCCAGGAUAAUCCGGUCCGCUCGCCGAUCGACGCCGCGAGAUAUAUCGCGCGGAAACCGCGACAAACGUCUACGGGAACUAGACGACGGAGCAAUCUAAGUUUCCGGCGGAUCGUAUCGCUGUCUCGCGAAGUUCCAAUUAUUUCUUCGUUCUGCGUACGUUACAUUUGGGUUGAACCCGUUGUUUGAAUCAAUUUUUGUUGCUUGGAAGAAUCUCUGGUCGUGUGAAGACUAUAGGAAAGGGUUUGAGAACUAAACUGAAUUUAUUUAGAGAUUUCGCUGUUUUUAUUACAAUGUAAAGCGAAUAGCCUAAGCUCACACGUUGAACAUGAAAAAGUAUCGUAGUUUCAGGAUCUCGCAGACAGCUGAUCGAUUCGUUUGAACAGAGGAGGGUCACUGUGCGGUGUGACCAGUCGCUGUGCCUUUGGUAUAAUCAACUUAAUAUUUAUCGCGCGAGAUACAUUAAAUUUUUCAAUUCAAAAAUAAACGAUACAGAACG